GGGGAUUUAGCUCAGUGGUAGAGCGCUUGCCUAGGAAGCGCAAGGCCCUGGGUUCGGUCCCCAGCUCCCUC
rfam:Rattus norvegicus chromosome 20, whole genome shotgun sequence.